rnacentral:rRNA from 1 species
UUGAACGCUGGCGGCAGGCCUAACACAUGCAAGUCGAGCGGAUGAAGGGAGCUUGCUCCUGGAUUCAGCGGCGGACGGGUGAGUAAUGCCUAGGAAUCUGCCUGGUAGUGGGGGAUAACGUCCGGAAACGGGCGCUAAUACCGCAUACGUCCUGAGGGAGAAAGUGGGGGAUCUUCGGACCUCACGCUAUCAGAUGAGCCUAGGUCGGAUUAGCUAGUUGGUGGGGUAAAGGCCUACCAAGGCGACGAUCCGUAACUGGUCUGAGAGGAUGAUCAGUCACACUGGAACUGAGACACGGUCCAGAAUCCUACGGGAGGCAGCAGUGGGGAAUAUUGGACAAUGGGCGAAAGCCUGAUCCAGCCAUGCCGCGUGUGUGAAGAAGGUCUUCGGAUUGUAAAGCACUUUAAGUUGGGAGGAAGGGCAGUAAGUUAAUACCUUGCUGUUUUGACGUUACCAACAGAAUAAGCACCGGCUAACUUCGUG